rnacentral:rRNA from 1 species
AUUGAACGCUGGCGGCAUGCCUUACACAUGCAAGUCGAACGGCAGCACGGGGCAACCUGGUGGCGAGUGGCGAACGGGUGAGUAAUGCAUCGGAACGUACCUUUCAGUGGGGGAUAACGUAGCGAAAGUUACGCUAAUACCGCAUAUUCUGUGAGCAGGAAAGCAGGGGAUCGCAAGACCUUGCGCUGAUUGAGCGGCCGAUGUCAGAUUAGCUAGUUGGUGAGGUAAAGGCUCACCAAGGCGACGAUCUGUAGCGGGUCUGAGAGGAUGAUCCGCCACACAGGAACUGGGACACGGUCCAGACGCCUCCGGGAGGCAGCAGUGGGGAAUUUUGGACAAUGGGGGCAACCCUGAACCAGCCAUGCCGCGUGAGUGAAGAAGGCCUUCGGGUUGUAAAGCUCUUUCGGCCGGGAAGAAAUCGCACGGGCUAAUACCCUGUGUGGAUGACGGUACCGGAAUAAGAAGCACCGGCUAACUACGUGCCAGCCGCCGCCGUAACAC